GUGUGUUUCUGUGUCUCCCGGUCCAGGUUGCUCUCCCAGCAGUGUGUGUUUCUGUGUCUCCUGGUCCAGGCUGCUCUCCCAGCAGUGUGUGUUUCUGUGUCUCCUGGUCCAGGCUGCUCUCCCAGCAGUGUGUGUUUCUGUGUCUCCUGGUCCAGGCUGCUCUCCCAGCAGUGUGUGUUUCUGUGUCUCCCGGUCCAGGUUGCUCUCCCAGCAGUGUGUGUUUCUGUGUCUCCCGGUCCAGGCUGCUCUCC